rnacentral:rRNA from 1 species
UGACCGCUGGCGGCAGGCCUAACACAUGCAAGUCGACCGGUAACAGGAAGCAGCUUGCUGCUUCGCUGACGAGUGGCGGACGGGUGAGUAAUGUCUGGGAAGCUGCCUGAUGGAGGGGGAUAACUACUGGAAACGGUAGCUAAUACCGCAUAAUGUCGCAAGACCAAAGAGGGGGACCUUCGGGCCUCUUGCCAUCGGAUGUGCCCAGAUGGGAUUAGCUUGUUGGUGGGGUAACGGCUCACCAAGGCGACGAUCCCUAGCUGGUCUGAGAGGAUGACCAGCCACACUGGGACUGAGACACGGUCCAGACUCCUACGGGAGGCAGCAGUGGGGAAUAUUGCACAAUGGGCGCAAGCCUGAUGCAGCCAUGCCGCGUGUAUGAAGAAGGCCUUCGGGUUGUAAAGUACUUUCAGCGGGGAGGAAGGGAGUAAAGUUAAUACCUUUGCUCAUUGACGUUACCCGCAGAAGAAGCACCGGCUAACUCCGUG